CACGUACUCCCUCCGUUCGGAAUUACUUGUCGCAAAAAUGGAUGUAUCUAGACGUAUUUUAGUUCUAGAUACAUCCAUUUCCGAGACAAGUAAUUCCGAACAGAGGGAGUACUUU
rnacentral:pre_miRNA from 1 species